GCACAGUGAGACCUGCGUGCGGGAGGCGCACUCCACCUCAACCCAGCGCGCCGCCUGGAACAGCCCCCGGAGCCGGGGAGCUGAGCUAGGGAAGGCCGAGGGCUUUGCCUGCAGGCCAUUGUUAAUAAAACUCAUUACUCUGGGAAUGUUCCGAGGCAGCCCGACCCUUGCCUGCCUAAGAAAAUCAGCCUCUGCUCCUCAUUCUAAGCCCUUAUCCAACGUCCCCACCUGCAAGACCAGUUCCUGAGGGUCGGCAUGAAGAAGAGGAAAAGCACGUGGAGGAUAGAGUAAAAUACGUAGACUAAGAGAGAAAGUAGGAUGCGGUGAUGGAAGUGAGAGCCGCUUGGAAAAAACUGGGAGAGAGGAGGAGGAGGUGGCGCUUGGAGCAGCAAAGACUCUGCGGUGUGUGCGCGUGCGCGCGAGAAAGAAUGGGGAAAGUAAUAGAUACUCGAAAGGCUGACUGGGUUGAUGAAUGGAAUUCCCCUCCGUAAUUUUUGGAGUCAUAAUUUUUGCCCCUUGGACUGUGCUUCUUGAAGUGCAGCGUGCCUGGAGCCCGGGCCGUGGGGCCACUCGGCUACGGAUGCUAUGUGAUCUAACCAGGACCCAGGAAGGGGCCCUCUGGCUGCAGUGAGAGAGGGGUACACGGGGCGACACGCAGUGUUCUCAGGAGGGCGGCACAGCUGCUGCAGGUGAGAAGUGCUGGGGACGGUCGAGAUCACUGGACGCCCUCAGAAAUGGUACUGCGGCUGGAGAAAUCAUUAACGAGGAAAGAAAUAACCCAAUUUCCGGGAGGCUGGGACAGGAGAAUUGCUUGAACCCGGGAGCAGAGGUUGCCGGGAGCCGAGAUCGCGCCACUGCACUCCAGCCUGGGCGACAGAGCGAGAUUCCGUCUCAAAAAAAAAAAAGAAAAGAAAAGAAAAGAAAGGAAAAGAAAAGAAGAGAAAAGAAAGAAACACCCAAUUUCAGAAAGAGAUGAGAAUGGAGAGCUCAGAAGACACAAUUUCUCUCUCACACUUCUGCCUUCUGGCCACAUCCUCCCAGACAGGAUAAAUUUGAAGGUGGUUCCCCCACGCCCCGCUAAAGAAAGGUCUUGUUUUCCAGAGCUAUCUCCAACUUUGCCACCUGAGAAACACAAGUCCAAGUCCAAUACUUACAGAAGAAAUAACUAUUCCACCUAGUCAAGGAACUAGCCAACACUUAAUGGAGGAUUGCCCUUGGUUAUAGAGCUAACUGCAAAUGAAGUAACUAGAGGAAGACCAUUUACCUUCUCCAUUGAAGAGACCAUUCAAGAGCCAACUCAGCAAUCAGGGUCUAGCAGUGUUACUGACUGGAUGACUGGCACUUAGAGUCCAGCACCCUGCUGAGAAACCAGCAACCCAUGUGAGGAUUCCAUGGCCAACUGAGAUCACAAGACUCUUGAACAGAAGAAAUGCCAAGAGAGCUAGAAUCUUACAGAUGGUGGUAUUAAUAAUGGAGCAAACUAGAACCAAUGACAAAGACAUGAAGUCUGAAAAUAGCACAGAGAAUAUAAAUAUUGUGAGAUGAAUGUUCCCCCUUCAAUUCUCCUUAUUUGCCAAAUAUUUUCAUUUCCUUUUGUCAUUAUAGAAAAUAAAACCAUGCAUCACAGUCAAAAGUGCUCCACUAGCAACAUUGUAUGAUUCACUCUUUUUGUCAUACAUGUCUUUAGUAAUUGAUGGAUAUUAAAAUCACACAGACUAUUUAAUAAGGGCUUAUUUUACUUGCAUCGCCACUUUGAUUCAAAAAAAGAUUUAAGGUAGUUAAUAAGGUUAGAAGGAAAGAGAGUUAACAAAGACAAGAACUUUAACUAGAGUCAAAACUAAAGUCAAUAUUUAAGAAAUAAACACCACAUAGUCUCCCACGCUUUCUC
rnacentral:lncRNA from 1 species